rnacentral:rRNA from 1 species
AGUGAACGCUGGCGGUAGGCCUAACACAUGCCAGUCGAACGGCAGCACAGUAAGAGCUUGCUCUUACGGGUGGCGAGUGGCGGACGGGUGAGGAAUACAUCGUAAUCUACUUUUUCGUGGGGGAUAACGUAGGGAAACUUACGCUAAUACCGCAUACGACCUACGGGUGAAAGCAGGGGAUCUUCGGACCUUGCGCGAUUGAAUGAGCCGAUGUCGGAUUAGCUAGUUGGCGGGGUAAAGGCCCACCAAGGCGACGAUCCGUGGCUGGUCUGAGAGGAUGAUCAGCCACACUGGAACUGAGACACGGUCCAGACUCCUACGGGAGGCAGCAGUGGGGAAUAUUGGACAAUGGGCGCGAGCCUGAUCCAGCCAUACCGCGUGGGUGGAGGAGGCCUUCGGGUUGUAAAGCCCUUUUGUUGGGAAAGAAAAGCAGCAGGUUAAUACCCCGCUGUUCUGACGGUACCCAAAGAAUAAGCACCGGCUAACUUCGUG